AGAGAAUUGAUCUGCAUGUGAUGAUUAACACAAUGGAAUAUGUUAGUACAGAUGGUUUCAGUAAGUCUAAUCGAUCUUCUUUCCCCAUUCAAAAGAAGAAAUAAUUAAAACAAAGGGUGUGCAAGAGAUCAUGAUGUUAGCUCCAAUAAUAUAAUAUUCUAAUCUUAGUAAGCAACAAGUGGAGAAUAAUCAGAAAGUUACUAACACAAAAAAUCUCAAAUAACCCAAAUUCUCCAUCAGACAGAUAAAAGGCAUAGUUGAGUUGAGGUGAGCAAAAGAGUUAUCGAUAAGACCUAAGAAUGGCACCACAAAAGGUGCACAUGAUAGCUUUCCAAGACCUCCGGUAAAAGGGAACAUGGCAGAAUCUGGUGGCAGUUUUCAUGUCUGCCACGCUAGCCCCGCCUCCGCACCUCGAGCAUAUUCCGGCAGCUGGUUUGCUCCUCCUCACUUUCUUUGUCUGAUCAACCAGAAAGCAGAAACAUACCAUUUUUUUUUGGUUUU
rnacentral:lncRNA from 1 species